CCUACAUCUUCUCAAUCCCUACAUCUUCUCAAUCCCUACAUCUUCUCAAUCCCUACAUCUUCCCAAUCCCUACAUCUUCUCAAUCCCUACAUCUUCUCAAUCCCUACAUCUUCUCAAUCCCUACAUCUUCUCAAUCCCUACAUCUUCUCAAUCCCUACAUCUUCUCAAUCCCUACAUCUUCUCAAUCCCUACAUCUUCUCAAUCCCUACAUCUUCUCACUCCCUACAUCUUCUCAAUCCCUACAUCUUCUCAAUCCCUACAUCUUCUCAAUCCCUACAUCUUCUCAAUCCCUACAUCUUCUCAAUCCCUACAUCUUCUCAAUCGGGUCUAGCUAUUUUGCGGGCCGCGGGCCGCGGGCCGCGGGUCAGUUUUUGCGGGCUACGGGUCAGUUUUUGCGGGCUGCGGGUUAAAACAAUUGCGGGCCGCGGGCCAAAUUGCUGGGCUAACUAAUUUUUUGUUGCAUGCCAUAUAUGGCAUGCAACUUUCAUUGGUGAGCGUACCGGUCACAUGGCAAAUUCGUAAAAUACGACAAAUACCGAGUUUUUCCGACGAGCAUUUCAUCACUCAUGCUCGAGGAAAGGCAAAGAAAAAUGUUUGAGUGUUCGCGGAAAAUUUACAUAAUUGAGCGCCUUUAAAAAUAGAUCAAGG